AUAUAUAUAUAUAUAUAAAUUUCUGAGGUGGGGUAUCUUGCUCUUCUAGUUGCAUAAUGGUAAUCUUGGGCCGUUUUUGUUGGCUUUACCAUUCUUUUUCUGACUCUUCUCUACUUUUUGCUUCGUGGGAUGUUUUCUGUUUUUUACCACUUAUAAUUAGGGUUUCUCUUCUAUAAUCUCAUUUUAUCCAAACCAGCAACAUCAUACUUAUAGAGAGUGAUUUUGAAUCAUAUUCACAUAUAUAUAUAUAUAUAUUUGCAUGGGGAGAUCUCAUCAGCAGCAGCAGCAUCACUUCAGAACCAGGAUCGUCAUUAUUAUCAGUUAAUAUUCGCGGGUGCGGCAUCAUCAAGAUUCACAAAACUUUAUAAAGGGAUUGAUCAUAUUCAUAGCUAGAUAUCGAUCGAGUACCCAGCAGCCGGCGGAGCUUAUCAUUUUGGCUUAAAAAAAGCAAAAAAAAAAAAAAAAAAAACGAAGAAGAAGAAAUCACAGAGCUGCCUUUAGUACUUGAAAGUUAAUCCCCUUUCAGAUCGAUUUAUGGGAAUCUUGAUGAUGCUGCAUCAGCAAAUAUAUGGCUAGCUACAUACCACUACUACUACUUCUAUUCUCUCAUUCAUCUCAUCAUACACCCACACAUAUAUAAACUUACAUAUAUAUAUAUAUAUUUGAUUUCAAUUAAUAAUAAUAUGAGUUUACAGAAAUCUGAUAGUUCGAUGAAGAAAUAGCCAUACAUAUACAUACUCAAGGAUCGAUAUGCUGUGUCAGACACUUACUUCAAUGAGAGAUGUUAAAGUGAUCUGCGUGGAGUACUUUAAAUGGUGCAAAAGAAGAAUAUAAACAUGAGGCAGUACGGACAAGGUCAGACCCAAAUUAAUUUUGUAGUGCUCUGAUUAAGUAUAUAUUUUGAUGAUCAUGAUCACUUCAUUAGUUUAAUUCAUUGUGGUUUAGUCAGCAAUCCAUUAAUUAUCUUAUA